rnacentral:rRNA from 1 species
AGGGCGUACGGUGGAUGCCUAGGCUCUUACAGGCGAUGAAGGACGUGGUAAGCUGCGAAAAGCCGGGUAGAGGUGCAAACGACCUUUGAUACCCGGAUUUCCGAAUGGGACAACCCGGCAGGUUGAAGACCUGUCACCAUAUUAAUUAUGGAGCGAACGCGGGGAACUGAAACAUCUUAGUACCCGUAGGAAGAGAAAACAAACGUGAUACCCCUAGUAGCGGCGAGCGAAGGGGGCAUAGCCCAAACCGUAGAGGUAUUUGCUUCUGCGGGGUUGUAGGACUGCCAGGAAUUGGUUAUAAAAACGAAGCGGAACGAUUUGGAAAGGUCGGCCAUAGCGGGUGACAGCCCCUUAUGCGUAAGUUUUUUUAUCAUCGGCAGCACCUGAGUAUCUCGGGACACGUGAAAUCCUGAGAGAAUCCGGCGGGCCCAUCCGCCAAGGCUAAAUACUCGUAAGAGACCGAUAGCGAACCAGUACCGUGAGGGAAAGGUGAAAAGCACCCUGAUUAAGGGAGUGAAAGAGUUCCUGAAACCGUACGCCUACAAGCGGUCGGAGCAGCACUAUGCUGUGACGGCGUGCCUUUUGCAUAAUGAGCCUACGAGUUGUCGUUUUUGGCAAGGCUAAGGACAAUGAUGUCCGGAGCCGUAGCGAAAGCGAGUCCGAAUAGGGCGUGCAGUCAAAGGCGGCAGACGCGAAACCAAGUGAUCUACCCUUGUCCAGGUUGAAGUCCCGGUAACACGGGAUGGAGGACCGCACCGAUAAGCGUUGAAAAGCUUCCGGAUGAGAUGAGGGUAGGAGUGAAAGGCCAAUCAAACUUGGAGAUAGCUCGUACUCCCCGAAAUGCAUUUAGGUGCAGCCUCGGAUGUUUGCUGUAAGAGGUAGAGCGACUGAUCGGACGCGAGGGCUUCGCCGCCUGUCAAGUCCGGACAAACUCCGAAUGCUUACAGCUUAAGUCCGGGAGUGAGGGACGGGGUGCUAAGGUCCCGUCCCGAGAGGAGAAGAAUCCAGACCGUCAGCUAAGGUCCCGAAGUGUAGGUUAAGUUAGUCUAACGCAGUGUGGCCCCCAAGACAGCUAGGAUGUUGGCCCGGAAGCAGCCAUUCAUUCAAAGAGUGCGUAACAGCUCACUAGUCGAGGGGCUGCGCGUGGAUGAUAAUCGGGUAUAAAAUCUACCACCGAAGCUACGGAAUCCGUUUUUGGAUUGGUAGGGGAGCAUUGCCGUUGCUUAGAAGAUAUGAGGACGACUUGUAUUGGAGCGGCGGGAAAAGCAAAUGUAGGCAUAAGUAACGAGAAAGAGGGUGCGACUCCCUCUCGCCGUAAGGUUAAGGUUUCCCGGGCAACGUUCGUCGUCCCGGGGUUAGUCGGGUCCUAAGGCUCAGCCGCAAGGCGAGGUCGAUGGUCAUGCGUUUAAUAUUCCGCAACUGUCUUUAAGAGCGAUGUGGUGACGGAGAAGUGACACUUCCGCGUCCUGACGGAAUAGGACGUUUAACGACAAAGGUGUAGAUGAUUACAGGCAAAUCCAUAAUCAGAGCCGAAGUCGGAAAGUACGAAAGGCCUUCGGGCUGCUCGAGUGAAGGUAAUCCAGCUCCCAAGAAAACCCGCUAGCAUUAUUUUAAAGACACCCGUACCGUAAACGGACACACGUAACCGCGUAGAAUAUACUAAGGCGCUCGGAAGAUUCAUGGUUAAGGAACUAGGCAAAUUGACCCCGUAACUUCGGGAUAAGGGGUCCUCAUAGUAAUAUGAGGCGCAGAGAAUAGGUCCAGGCAACUGUUUAACAAAAACACAGGGCUGUGCUAAGUCGAAAGAUGCUGUAUACAGUCUGACACCUGCCCGGUGCCGGAAGGUCAAGAGGAGAGCUCAGACUUUAGUCGAAGGUUUGAAUUGAAGCCCCGGUAAACGGCGGCCGUAACUAUAACGGUCCUAAGGUAGCGAAAUUCCUUGUCGGGUAAGUUCCGACCUGCACGAAUGGUGUAAUGAUCCGGACACUGUCUCAACCAUGAUUCCGGUGAAAUUGUAGUAUCGGUGAAGAUGCCGAU